GUUCUAACAUUGUCCUCUUUCUUCUUCAAAUGUUUGUUGCUUUGGCUUUGUCUCCCAGUGUACUUGACAAGUCUACGAAGAGGAAUUCAAAUGAAAAGCUGUGGGUUUUCUGAAUGAUGCUGUCUUUUCUAGAGUGGAUUGUCUCCCAGGAAGGUGAAUGUUGAACACACAAGGAGAACACUGUGACCCCUCUCUGCAGUUGUCACUCUGGGCUGUCCUUACUCUGCUCUCCUUAAGGGACACUGACCAGCAACUAAGAGAGACUCUGAGUAGAUAAAUGAAAGAAAUGUCAAUACCAGAAAGGAUUUAAAUUGGCACAGACAGAACAAUGGAAGAUGGGCUCGGGAUGGUUUGUGGCUUGAGGAACAUCCAAGAAGAGUGCUGGUGACCAGAUUGCACGCUUUUACUCCCUGAAGACUUUUUGCAUGGCAGCAAGCAGUGUAUGUGCCCACAACUGGAAAAGAGUUCAGGAAGGUAAACAGUAUGCCUUUUUCUUGUUUUCCUAUUUCUGUUCCAUCUUUAAUCUCUUAGACUAAGGGAAAUGAAAACCUUCAGUUGAUGAAGGGUAAAGGAUGGAAGACUGAGCUUUAAAACUCACAACUGAAGUUGUGUCUUCUCUGAAUCAGGUUUUACCCAUGCUUGGGUAAGUUCCCUAAAUAUCCUUUGUGCUGUUGGUGCUCUAGAUUUGAAUGCACAGAACUGACAAGGCCACACAAGUGUGAGAAUAUGUGAGUGUGAAGCAUUGUGGUAGAUGAUUGUCCUAAGGUGUGUGACUUUUGUCUAUGCUUCAUUUGUUUAACUCGGUGAAGCCGUAUUACUGUGUCUGUCUGAAACACCUGGUGGUCCUAAUAAAGAGCUGAACGGCCAAUGGCGAAGCA
rnacentral:lncRNA from 1 species